rnacentral:rRNA from 1 species
UACGGAGGGUGCAAGCGUUAAUCGGAAUUACUGGGCGUAAAGCGCGCGUAGGCGGCUUGUUAAGUCGGAUGUGAAAGCCCCGGGCUCAACCUGGGAACUGCACCCGAUACUGGCAAGCUAGAGUACGAGAGAGGGGGGUAGAAUUCCAUGUGUAGCGGUGAAAUGCGUAGAUAUAUGGAGGAAUACCGGUGGCGAAGGCGGCCCCCUGGCUCGAUACUGACGCUGAGGUGCGAAAGCGUGGGGAGCAAACAGG